AACGAACGCUGGCGGCAGGCUUAACACAUGCAAGUCGAACGCCCCGCAAGGGGAGUGGCAGACGGGUGAGUAACGCGUGGGAAUCUACCCAGAACUUCGGAACAACUGAGGGAAACUUCAGCUAAUACCGGAUACGCCCUACGGGGGAAAGAUUUAUCGGUUCUGGAUGAGCCCGCGUUGGAUUAGCUAGUUGGUGAGGUAAAGGCUCACCAAGGCGACGAUCCAUAGCUGGUCUGAGAGGAUGAUCAGCCACACUGGGACUGAGACACGGCCCAGACUCCUACGGGAGGCAGCAGUGGGGAAUAUUGGACAAUGGGGGCAACCCUGAUCCAGCCAUGCCGCGUGAGUGAAGAAGGCCUUCGGGUUGUAAAGCUCUUUCGGCCGGGAAGAAAUCGUAUGGGUUAAUACCCUGUGCGGAUGACGGUACCGGCAUAAGAAGCACCGGCUAACUACGUG
rnacentral:rRNA from 1 species